rnacentral:rRNA from 1 species
AAGAGACAGCAGUAGCCGCGGUAAUACGUAGGUCCCGAGCGUUGUCCGGAUUUAUUGGGCGUAAAGCGAGCGCAGGCGGUUUGAUAAGUCUGAAGUUAAAGGCUGUGGCUCAACCAUAGUUCGCUUUGGAAACUGUCAAACUUGAGUGCAGAAGGGGAGAGUGGAAUUCCAUGUGUAGCGGUGAAAUGCGUAGAUAUAUGGAGGAACACCGGUGGCGAAAGCGGCUCUCUGGUCUGUAACUGACGCUGAGGCUCGAAAGCGUGGGGAGCGAACAGGAUUAGAUACCCGCGUAGUCCCUGUCUCUUAUACC